AAAGCUUUAUACCUCUUCAUUUAACCAAUUCCAUUUAUUUACAUCAACCCCUCAUCCCUAUUGAAUGACUCUAUAAAUUUAUAGAAGCCACUAUGUCUAAACUAGUAAUAAGAAUAUGAAAUUCUCCUCAAUGUAAGCUUAAGCCGCAACGGACACACCCACGGCAAUUAAAGUUAAUGAACUCAAUACAAUAACCUCUUAAAAACUUGUAAUAAACAAACGUCAACCUAACACAAGAGCAUUCCAGGAAAGAUUAAAAGGAGGAGAAGGAACUCGGCAAACCUUAACCCCGCCUGUUUACCAAAAACAUCGCCUCUUGAUAAAUUAUAAGAGGUCAAGCCUGCCCAAUGAUUAUUUAAAUGGCCGCGGUAUCCUAACCGUGCUAAGGUAGCACAAUAACUUGUCCUUUAAAUGGGGACUAGCAUGAAUGGCGCCACGAGGGUUAUACUGUCUCCUCCCCCCAAUCAAUGAAACUGACUUCCCCGUGAAAAGGCGGGAAUAAAACUAUAAGACGAGAAGACCCCAUGGAGCUUCAGAUUAAGAAUAUAUCUAAUUAAUAUUCCCCUAAAAAUUUAGAUCCUUAAUUCCCAAUCUUCGGCUGGGGCGACCGUGGAGUACAACUAAACCUCCAUGCCGAAAGGAUAAAAAUCCUAAUCCAAGAGCUACAACUCCAAGAAUCAACAAACUGACGCCUACUGAUCCAAAAUCUGAUCAACGAACCAAGUUACCCUGGGGAUAACAGCGCCAUCUACCUCAAGAGUCCUUAUCGACAGGUGGGUUUACGACCUCGAUGUUGGAUCAGGGUAUCCCUGUGGUGCAGCCGCUACAUAUGGUUCGUUUGU
rnacentral:rRNA from 1 species